GACGAACGCUGGCGGCGUGCUUAACACAUGCAAGUCGAACGGAAAGGCCCUGCUUUUGUGGGGUGCUCGAGUGGCGAACGGGUGAGUAACACGUGAGUAACCUGCCCUUGACUUUGGGAUAACUUCAGGAAACUGGGGCUAAUACCGGAUAGGAGCUCCUGCUGCAUGGUGGGGGUUGGAAAGUUUCGGCGGUUGGGGAUGGACUCGCGGCUUAUCAGCUUGUUGGUGGGGUAGUGGCUUACCAAGGCUUUGACGGGUAGCCGGCCUGAGAGGGUGACCGGCCACAUGGGGACUGAGAUAGGGAGCAGACUCCUACGGGAGGCAGCAGUGGGGAAUAUUGCACAAUGGGCGGAAGCCUGAUGCAGCAACGCCGCGUGCGGGAUGACGGCCUUCGGGUUGUAAACCGCUUUCGCCUGUGACGAAGCGUGAGUGACGGUAAUGGGUAAAGAAGCACCGGCUAACUACGUG
rnacentral:rRNA from 1 species